GACGAACGCUGGCGGCGUGCUUAACACAUGCAAGUCGAACGGAGUGGAGAACGGGUGAGUCACACGUGGGUGACCUGCCCUGCACUUCGGGAUAAGCCUGGGAAAAUGGGGCGAAUACCGGAUAGUGUGGGAUGGUCCAGCGGACAAUCCGCGUGUUGGUGGGGUAAUGGCCUACGAGGGCGGAGGCGGGUAGCCGGCCUGGGAGGGUGGACGGACACAAGUGGUCUGCGGCACGGCCCAGUCGCCUACGGGGGGUAGCAGUGGGGAAGAUUACGCAGUGGGCGGGAGGCUGAGGAAGCGACGCCGCGUGGGGAAUGACGGCUUUCGGGUUGUAAACUCCUUUCACCGUCGACGCGGUAGUUUGAGAAGAAGCACCGGCUAACUACGUGCCAGCCGCCGCGGUAAUUC
rnacentral:rRNA from 1 species